UAUUACUCGAGCUAUUAUCUAUGCCUUAAUUGACAGAAGUGAUUCUGAACUGGGCGAGCCGCUUACACUGUUUCUGUAUAGGCCUUGGCUUCCUUUACCUUUGGAAGCAGGUAAGUGAAAUUAAUCCUUGGUUUCCUUUUCUAAUUUUAUGUUGUCCUUGGUUUCCUUUGUUUUAUAGGAAAGUUUGAGGCAACGACUAUGGUAUCCAUGAUGUUCAAUGUGGGAAUCAAGAAAUAUUUUGAUAUGACCCUUCUUUCUUGUGCCUAUGCUAGAACUAGGGAACGUACUCAAGGUCUUGUAUCUUUUUUUGGUCACACCUAUAGAUUACUUUAAGCAUUCAAAGUUGUUGACAAUAUGUUUUGAUACAGGUUUAGAAGCUUUUAGGUUACUUGGCCAACAUCUUGACAUGGGUGAGACUCACCAAGGUCAUGUUGUUCUUGUUUUGCAUUGGAUGAAUUUUUUGAAGAAUUGGGUCUUGAGACGGAGAUUGGAUCAUUAGAACAUUUAUUACAUUAUGAAGAGCAGAACACCGGGAGGGUAGUUCCUUUAGUUCUUGGUCUCCUUUGCAUUUGCAAUCUGAAGGAGGUUAUGUCGACGCAAAUGAUUCAAGUAUUUGAGUUGGUGUGUAAUAGUGGGCCUUGGCGUUGCAUAUGCAGGAACACAGGAUUAGAAGUGAAGAUGUUACUUGAGCUAUUAUCUUUGCCUUAAUGGACAUAAGUAAUUCAGAACUGGGCGAACCGCUUACUCUGUUUCUGUAUAGGCCUUGCUUCCUAUACCUUUGGAAGUAGGAACACAGGAUUAGAAGGUGAAGUAUCUCAGUUUUCACCCGCAGAGUGACAUUUUGAUUCAUAAAAGCAUUUUCAAAGCCUGGUUUCUAAAGUCUUAGAGAAGAAGAUUACCAAACUAUUAGGCCAAUACUUUAUAACAAAUGGGUUGGAAUAUGGUUCGAGGGGAUUUUGUUGUACAUCUGUUAAACACCUUUCAUCGGGAAUAUUAUUUGUUGUUGAAGUUUUUGCGACUCAAAACUAUUUGAAUGGUUAAGCAUGCUCUAUUUAGUAAGCUUUUGCCCAUUAUGGUAAUGUAUCAGAACAUAUGUUGUAUAGUGUUUAUUGUUUUUUAGAAUUUUGAUGAAUUAAAUAUGCAGUGCCAUUUGAAGCUUACUUUAUUUUAUUAACAGACAAGAAGGAAAUCAUCUCCAAUUUUGGAAGAUGCAAAAUUUUCAAUUGAUAUGAUUUUCUUCACCACGAUCUCAUUGGGCUUUAUUUCUA